rnacentral:rRNA from 1 species
GAUCAUGGCUCAGAUUGAACGCUGGCGGCAGGCCUAACACAUGCAAGUCGAACGGUAACAGGAAACAGCUUGCUGUUUCGCUGACGAGUGGCGGACGGGUGAGUAAUGUCUGGGAAACUGCCUGAUGGAGGGGGAUAACUACUGGAAACGGUAGCUAAUACCACAUAACGUCGCAAGACCAAAGAGGGGGACCUUCGGGCCGUCUUGCCAUCAGAUGUGCCCACGAUGGGAGUUAG